rnacentral:rRNA from 1 species
GCAGCCUGCCGCGUGUGUGAAGAAGGCCUUCGGGUUGUAAAGCACUUUCAGUCAGGAGGAAAGGUUANCGGUUAAUACCNGUUAGCUGUGACGUUACUGACAGAAGAAGCACCGGCUAACUCCGUGCCAGCAGCCGCGGUAAUACGGAGGGUGCGAGCGUUAAUCGGAAUUACUGGGCGUAAAGCGUACGCAGGCGGUUUGUUAAGCGAGAUGUGAAAGCCCCGGGCUCAACCUGGGAACUGCAUUUCGAACUGGCAAACUAGAGUGUGAUAGAGGGUGGUAGAAUUUCAGGUGUAGCGGUGAAAUGCGUAGAGAUCUGAAGGAAUACCGAUGGCGAAGGCAGCCACCUGGGUCAACACUGACGCUCAUGUACGAAAGCGUGGGGAGCAAACGGGAUUAGAUACCCCGGUAGUCCACGCCGUAAACGAUGUCUACUAGAAGCUCGGAGCCUCGGUUCUGUUUUUCAAAGCUAACGCAUUAAGUAGACCGCCUGGGGAGUACGGCCGCAAGGUUAAAACUCAAAUGAAUUGACGGGGGCCCGCACAAGCGGUGGAGCAUGUGGUUUAAUUCGAUGCAACGCGAAGAACCUUACCUACACUUGACAUACAGAGAACUUACCAGAGAUGGUUUGGUGCCUUCGGGAACUCUGAUCAGGUGCUGCAUGGCUGUCGUCAGCUCGUGUUGUGAGAUGUUGGGUUAAGUCCCGCAACGAGCGCAACCCCUAUCCUUAGUUGCUAGCAGGUAAUGCUGAGAACUCUAAGGAGACUGCCGGUGAUAAACCCGGAGGAAGGUGGGGACGACGUCAAGUUCAUCAUGGCCCCUUACGUGUAGGGCUACACACGUGCUACAAUGGCGCAUACAGAAGUGCUGCGAACCCUGCCGAA